rnacentral:rRNA from 1 species
UACGAAGGGGGCUAGCGUUGUUCGGAAUUACUGGGCGUAAAGCGCGCGCAGGCGGCCUUUCAAGUCAGUGGUGAAAGCCCGGAGCUCAACUCCGGAACUGCCAUUGAAACUGUUUGGCUUGAGUACGAGAGAGGUGAGUGGAAUUCCCAGUGUAGAGGUGAAAUUCGUAGAUAUUGGGAAGAACACCGGUGGCGAAGGCGGCUCACUGGCCCGGUACUGACGCUGAGGUGCGAAAGCGUGGGGAGCAAACAGGG